rnacentral:rRNA from 1 species
GUGAAAUUCCGUCGGAAUCUGGGAGGACCAUCUCCUAAGGCUAAAUACUCUCUAGUGACCGAUAGUGAACCAGUACCGUGAGGGAAAGGUGAAAAGCACCCCGGAAGGGGAGUGAAAUAGAACCUGAAACCGUGUGCUUACAAGUAGUCAGAGCCCGUUAAUGGGUGAUGGCGUGCCUUUUGUAGAAUGAACCGGCGAGUUACGAUUUGAUGCAAGGUUAAGCAGUAAAUGUGGAGCCGUAGCGAAAGCGAGUCUGAAUAGGGCGUUUAGUAUUUGGUCGUAGACCCGAAACCAGGUGAUCUACCCUUGGUCAGGUUGAAGUUCAGGUAACA